rnacentral:misc_RNA from 1 species
AACAACGAUUUUGAUGUCUGAGUUAUUUAUUCUUAGGCCAAAAUCCUGUCACCUUAGGUCGAUCGAUACCUCAACUUUGAAGCUAAGAGAGUUCCAGCAAUGGUUGUCUGCUUAGUGGAGAUUUUUAGUUCCUAAACUUUGUCUAGUUCACAACCCAUUAGGGAUGAGACUCCUGGGCCAUUAGCUCAGGUGGUUAGAGCGCACCCCUGAUAAGGGUGAGGUCCCUGGUUCAAGUCCAGGAUGGCCCAUUCGGUGUAGGGGGUUUAGCUCAGUUGGUAGAGCGCCUGCUUUGCAAGCAGGAUGUCAGGAGUUCGAGUCUCCUAACCUCCACUGACUACCAAAAUCCCCAUCUCCAAAACCUGGAGUAUGAACUCGUAUGGAUUGUGAUUUAGAUUUGUCCGCUAGAUGACCCUAGCUUCUUGUCAUUUUAAUGCAUGGAAAUGAUUCCAUGAUUUGAUUGAUAGGAUGCUGGGCUCGAUGCAAUGUAUUGAGAGAUCAGUGCAUUGUUUUGAUGUCUAGCCGAACCUUGACAACUGCAUAGUUUAAGUCUGGGAAGAAUAAAGCAUCUUUAUGGAUGCAUCAUUUUUUCGUGUUAACGCAUGAAGGAGUGAUGUUAAUUCUAAAGCAAGAGCCGAGACUCCAGUAUGUUCUUUCAAAUGUGUCGAGCAUUUGAGAGUUUGAUUUUAAUUUCUAAUUUUAGAUUCUAAUUUUAGAAAUUAGAAGAAUCUGUUUCAACAACAGCAAGCGUGCUGGGGAUACAUUGGUCAAGCUACAAAGGGCUCACGGCGGAUACCUUGGCACACAGAGGCGAUGAAGGACGUGGUUACCUGCGAUAAGUCUCGGGGAGCUGGAAACACGCUUUGAUCCGGGA